UGAAGAUAGGUGACUCAAAGGCAUCUGUGC
rnacentral:piRNA from 1 species